rnacentral:lncRNA from 1 species
UUUACACACCCUUUAUCUUUUUAUUGAGGAGAAAGCUUUAGCAUACAGAACAAUUUCUCAUCUUCACAACACAGUAAAACAACAAUAACACAAUAACACAUUGGUUUCAAACGAUUUCUCCCCGGGUCUCUGGGAAUCCCUGGGCUGCCCUCAUACCCCUGCAUGCAUACGCCCACCCCCACCCACCCCUCUUUAAACCCAAGAAAUAGCCCAAAUCCCGUAGUUCCUCUUACAGCUCUUGUGGCUGUUAGAUCACAAUAUUGAAGAUCUGAGAAAGGAGGGGAAGAGGGUCAAAGGGGAGCCCAAGCUCCCUUGCCACCAGAGGGCCACAAACCAGCUCACUGCUCAAUCCUAAGGCUGGGCUGAGGUUAUCUGUCAGACUCCAGUGAGGAACAGAGGUUUAAUUUACUAUGUUUUCUUCCGUCUGGCCACAGACACUUUGGCUGCACUUGCCCAGCUACCAGGCCCUGUGCAGGAAGCCCAGUGUGGAGGGCAGU